rnacentral:rRNA from 1 species
CCAGCUCCAAUAGCGUAUAUUUAAGUUGUUGCAGUUAAAAAGCUCGUAGUUGGAUUUCGGGUGGGUUGGCGCGGUCCGCCUCUGGUGUGCACUGCGUCGGUCCACCUUCCUGCCGGGGACGGGCUCCUGGGCUUCACUGUCUGGGACUCGGAGUCGGCGAUGUUACUUUGAGUAAAUUAGAGUGUUCAAAGCAGGCCUACGCUCUGAAUACGUUAGCAUGGAAUAACGCGAUAGGACUCUGGCCUAUCCGUUGGUCUGUGGGACCGGAGUAAUGAUUAAGAGGGACAGUCGGGGGCAUUCGUAUUCCGUUGUCAGAGGUGAAAUUCUUGGAUUUACGGAAGACGAACUUCUGCGAAAGCAUUUGCCAAGGAUGUUUUCA